rnacentral:lncRNA from 1 species
AUGAAAGCUGAUGUUGAGCUGACACAUGGGAGCUACCAUCUGAAGGAAAGUGUUUAUGGAUUGUCAGGGUCUAACGUGAGCUGGGCCACAUCUUGCACUGGAGAAGCCAACAAGGUUCCUGUGCUGCAUACCACAAGAACUGAAGUUGAUCCAAACCCAGAGGCAACCACAUAUCAAGAACAAAGUGAAAACCAGCAAAGGUUCUAAGAACUAAGCAAAGAACCAAACCAGUAGCUACCUUCUGAUGACAGAAUUUUAAUGAUUCUACGAAGGGCAUGAUCUUUUGGCUGGUGAGACUGAAGGUGGCCAGCUGGGACACUCCUGUCACUGAUUAAAGAUGUGGCCAUUUCUUAUCACCGUGGAAGAACAAAAGUCAUGUAAACUUGGCUCUGAGGCAGCCAGAGAGACAGCACUUACUGACCUGGUGGGACUGCCAAGAUGCUGGAGUGGCUGGGAACAGAUCCAAACUCUGCUGAGCUAGAGCCCAAAACAUGCUCCUUUCUGCCAGUCUUAACACUUGUAAAUAUCACAACAGCUGCUGGAUGAGGCACCUUGUACAGAAAACAAGUUAAUUGUAUGUAACCAAUGAAGAGGCCUUACUGGUGAAGUUGGUCCUUCGAGUUUUAUAAUAUUCACACCACAGUUAAUUUUGGCUAUUGCUUCUGUAUUAAAAUAUCUUUCUUGUAUCUUAGCUGUGCUACACCAGCACUGUGCUUUCUGCAGGUGUAGCACAAGGACUCCAGGAUAUUUAUACCUACAGUACUUUGAGGCAGUGGAGUAUAUUAAAUUCCAACUCAGUGGAGAUUUAUUGUGUUAGAAUGAACAUUGCCUACAGUACAAUAACUCACAGAGAUAUGAGGAAACAUGCUACAGGUACAAGAAUUUGCAUUUCAUAGUUUAGGAUUGUAACUGAUACAGAAGGUGGUAGAAACCAGAGGCUUAGCUGUGGGACUCUGCUGAAGGUCAUUUCUGUGUAGGAUAGAUAUUGCCUGGAUUGUGGAAUAGCAGAUCCAAGCUGGUGAUGCCUGACUCAAAAGAAAUGCAAACAGUUCAACUGUUUUCACAGUAAAUAUUUGCUAGAAUACAAAACCUGAAAUUUUGUCUUGUUCAUGCUUAUUUUUAUUUGCUUUCUAGUAAAUGACUGUGAGAUGAGAACAUGUAUUAAAUUAAUGAAUUUUAAACAGAGACCAAGUAAUUCAUGCCCCUUAACACUUUACUUUAAAAUACAAGGAAUGGAAGCCUAGGAUGGAUAUUUGUAGAC